rnacentral:rRNA from 1 species
UACAGAGGGUGCGAGCGUUAAUCGGAAUUACUGGGCGUAAAGCGCGCGUAGGCGGCUUUGCAAGUCGGGUGUGAAAUCCCCAGGCUUAACCUGGGAACUGCAUUCGAGACUGCAUUGCUAGAGUAUGGGAGAGGGAAGUGGAAUUUCCGGUGUAGCGGUGAAAUGCGUAGAUAUCGGAAGGAACAUCAGUGGCGAAAGCGGCUUCCUGGCCUGUAACUGACGCUGAGACGCGAAAGCGUGGGGAGCGAACCGG